rnacentral:lncRNA from 1 species
GUCGCGUAUUUUUUCCGAAAAGCGAUCAAAGCUUAGCGGCCAGGCCUUCGCGAAAAAAUAAUGCGCUGCCAUCUUGGUUUUAAAAGUUUCCCAAAAUUUGCGAAGAUAAAUAACAGAAUUUUACUGAAUUUUUGUCUAUGUUACGAGCCAAAACAUUGCCAAAUAUAAAGACAGAUGACAUGGUAAGUGUAAUGUCGUAUUUAAUAACUGUUAUUUGAAUUAUUAUUAUAUAAAAUGUGCACAUGUAUCUGACUCAGGAGUGAGCACUGAGCAUUCAAACCCGCCAUCUAUAAUAAUAUUAAUAUAAAACUGAUUGAAAGCGACUGCUUUCGUCCUUUGAAUGAUGGCCUGCCUGUUCACAACUCAAUAUAUGUACAUGCAAAAUUGUAAAGCACUCUGUUUGAAUUUUCAAGGAAGAAUUUGUCAAUUUGAGUAUUUGUAAACAGUUUUUUCGCCUCUGGUACUUUUGCAUAUUUCCAUAUUAAAGACAUUUCACUGCAAGUGCACAUAGUCCAUGUAUCUGUAAUUUUAAACUUCAUACUGUUUUGUACACAUGCAGCUGUUGCAGUGUUUCAGGUAUACCAUGCUAGUCACUACAAGUUCCCUUUCUGAUAUAAAGAGUCGUGAUGUACUGGUACCGUAAACCUCCAACUUACGACUAUAGCCCCCCCCCAUGUACAAGCCCACCACAUGUACUAAAGCUCACCUCAUUCCAAAUAUAAGCCCCCCCCCCCGGAAUAUUAGUCCCCCGAAUUGAUAUAUUAAUACAUUUUUAAUUUCCUGUUUAUGACUGACUUGUUUAUGUUUGACUUGUUUAUUACUAACACUAACACAAAAGAUCAUUGGGUAUAAGCCCCCCUUGUAUAAGCCCAUCAAAAAUCGCUUAUGAAAGUAUAUAAGCCAGGUUUUAUAGUCGGAGGUUUACGGUAUAUGUAUACAGUAUAUUAAAGUAAUUGGAAACCAAAAUUUCAUGGGAUAUAAGUAACAAUUGCAAGUGGAAUUAAUAGUUGAAACAACCUACUUUCCCUCAUGCAUAUAACUUGAUGUGGUAUGAGGGUCGCUAAGCCCGGGCUGGUCUAACCUGAGAUUGGGCUGUAUUAUACGGAUAAUAACCUGACACAAAUCUUAAUCCAAUCACUUUCCACCCACAACAAAGUUUAUAUUUAGUAUCCAAUCAAAAUGUCACAGGAGAAAUUAAAAUUUCGCACAACGACAACAACAAUCUGAUUAUAGUUGUGAUCACUAUAAAAUAUAUCAACAACAACAGUAUAAUCUAAUUAACACCAACCAAUCAAAUGACAGAUUGAAAAAUCUUUUGUCUCGUAGACCAACCAGAUUUACAACUGAAAUACGGUUGUAAGGCAUGUACUUUUGUUUAGGUUUGUUUCAGGCCUAUUUAUUUAUUUAUAGGCCUGAUGGCAGGUUAGGGCCUGACCAACAACUGAGGUAGGAUGCAUCAUCACUAUGGACCCCAGACAGGCAUGUCAAUUUUUGGAAUCAAAGUUGUCUAUAAAGACCCAAUACUUUAUUUCACAAAGAACCACCUCCCCCAAUACCCCCAAGUAAAUCCAUCCCACUGCUACAUAAAAGAAUACUUCUUUCCCUCUAAGUUAACAAUGAAAGUAUAUUUUUUACAGAUCUCUGCGAUAUUACUUUUACAACCUUGAAGAUAUGAUUAUGAUGACAGAUGUUGGUACAUUGCAGAGUAUUUUGUACAUCCUAUAAACUUUUUGUAAUAUCCACACAAUUGAUAAAUUUGUAUCAUAAUUAAAUUUGUAUCAUAAUC